rnacentral:rRNA from 1 species
ACACAUGCAAGUCGCGGGGUAACGACGGAGAAAGCUUGCUUUUUCCGGGCGACGACCGGCGCACGGGUGAGUAACGCGUAUCCAACCUGCCCUAUACAAAGGCACAGCCCGGCGAAAGUCGGAUUAAUGCCUUAUGAAGUGAGAAGAAGACAUCUGAUUUUCACUAAAGCUGAGGCGGUAUAGGAUGGGGAUGCGUCCGAUUAGGUAGACGGCGGGGUAACGGCCCACCGUGCCGACGAUCGGUAGGGGUUCUGAGAGGAAGGUCCCCCACACUGGAACUGAGACACGGUCCAGACUCCUACGGGAGGCAGCAGUGAGGAAUAUUGGUCAAUGGGCGAUAGCCUGAACCAGCCAAGUAGCGUGAGGGAAGACGGCCCUAUGGGUUGUAAACCUCUUUAGUCCGGGAAUAAAGUGGGCGACGUGUCGCCUAUUGCAUGUACCGGAAGAAUAAGGACCGGCUAAUUCCGUGCCAGCAGCCGCGGUAAUACGGAAGGUCCGGGCGUUAUCCGGAUUUAUUGGGUUUAAAGGGAGCGCAGGCGGUCUGAUAAGCGGGCAGUGAAAGACGGUGGCUCAACCAUCGAGGUGCUGUCCGAACUGUCGGACUUGAGUACGUGCGAGGCAGGCGGAAUUCGUGGUGUAGCGGUGAAAUGCUUAGAUAUCACGAAGAACCCCGAUUGCGAAAGGCAGCUUGCCAAGUGCGCCACUGACGCUAAAGCUCGAAACGUGCGGGUAUCGAACCAGGAUUAGAUACCCUGGUAGUCCGCACGGUAAACGAUGGAUGCUCGCUGUUCGUUGCGUUUAUAGUGACGAGCGGCCAAGCGAAAGCGUUAAGCAUCCCACCUGGGGAGUACGCCGGCAACGGUGAAACUCAAAGGAAUUGACGGGGGCCCGCACAAGCGGAGGAACAUGUGGUUUAAUUCGAUGAUACGCGAGGAACCUUACCCGGGCUUGAAUUGCAGCUGCAUAGACCAGAGAUGGUCUUCCCUCGGG